AGUGAACGCUGGCGGUAGGCCUAACACAUGCAAGUCGAACGGCAGCACAGUAAGAGCUUGCUCUUACGGGUGGCGAGUGGCGGACGGGUGAGGAAUACAUCGGAAUCUACUUUUUCGUGGGGGAUAACGUAGGGAGACUUACGCUAAUACCGCAUACGACCUACGGGUGAAAGCAGGGGAUCUUCGGACCUUGCGCGAUUGAAUGAGUCGAUGUCGGAUUAGCUAGUUGGCGGGGUAAAGGCCCACCAAGGCGACGAUCCGUAGCUGGUCUGAGAGGAUGAUCAGCCACACUGGAACUGAGACACGGUCCAGACUCCUACGGGAGGCAGCAGUGGGGAAUAUUGGACAAUGGGCGCAAGCCUGAUCCAGCCAUACCGCGUGGGUGAAGAAGGCCUUCGGGUUGUAAAGCCCUUUUGUUGGGAAAGAAAAGCAGCAGGUUAAUACCCCGCUGUUCUGACGGUACCCAAAGAAUAAGCACCGGCUAACUUCGUG
rnacentral:rRNA from 1 species